rnacentral:rRNA from 1 species
CAGUAGCCGCGGGAAUACAGAGGGUGCGAGCGUUAAUCGGAAUUACUGGGCGUAAAGCGCGCGUAGGCGGUUACUCAAGUCAGAGGUGAAAGCCCGGGGCUCAACCCCGGAACUGCCUUUGAAACUAGGUGACUAGAAUCUUGGAGAGGUCAGUGGAAUUCCGAGUGUAGAGGUGAAAUUCGUAGAUAUUCGGAAGAACACCAGUGGCGAGGGCGACUGACUGGACAAGUAUUGACGCUGAGGUGCGAAAGCGUGGGGAGCAAACAGGAUUAGAGACCCCUGUAGUCCCUGUCUCUAUACA